rnacentral:rRNA from 1 species
UGGGGGAUAUUGCACAAUGGGGGAAACCCUGAUGCAGCAACGCCGCGUGUGGGAAGAAGGUUUUCGGAUUGUAAACCACUGUUCUUGGUGAAGAUAAUGACGGUAACCAAGGAGAAAGCUCCGGCUAACUACGUGCCAGCAGCCGCGGUAAUACGUAGGGAGCAAGCGUUGUCCGGAUUUACUGGGUGUAAAGGGUGCGUAGGCGGCUUUGCAAGUCAGACGUGAAAACCACAGGCUCAACCUGUGGACUGCGUUUGAAACUGUAGGGCUUGAGUGAAGUAGAGGUAGGCGGAAUUCCCGGUGUAGCGGUGAAAUGCGUAGAGAUCGGGAGGAACACCAGUGGCGAAGGCGGCCUACUGGGCUUUAACUGACGCUGAGGCACGAAAGCAUGGGUAGCAAACAGG